AAGAACGUGCAUCCAACUGACACUUGAUGGAAUUUGUAAAAAUUUGUUGGUAAAUUUCUGUUGAUUAACUGAAUGAGUUGAAGGCGCGCUUAUAUGCAUUUAGAUAUUUUGAAUAAUUUAUUAGUCCAAAUAAAUAAACAAACAAUUUCGAUCGCAAUUUUCGUGAAAGUGUUGGAGAAUCGUAAAUGCAGUUUCGGCUACAUGCGUCCACAGAAUGAUAUAAAUUUAAAAGAGUUAUCGAGUAUUUCACUGCGAAAAUAAGAAUUCUAAAUUCAACGUUCAUAUUACUAAUUAAAUUAGCAACCAAGAAUCGGAAUUUUCCGUGAGAAUAAAGAAAUCUUAAUAUAUCUAUGGUUAUAAUAAUGGAAGAUAUCAACUCAGAUAUAAUAAGCGCAGCAGCUACUACGCGCAUAAACCCCAUAUUUGCCCUCUCUAUAUCUGCACCAAAGUAUGUGUCGGUGUUCCGCAUCGAUGGAGUUCCUAUUAUACCGCCAUUAAUGACCGCCGACAAGCGACGACAAAUGCAGAAAUUAAAAGAAAAGGCUAUUAAAAUAGAGCAACGCUUAGAGGAAAAUCGACAUAGGAAACAGAGAUAUAAUUUAGAAUACGGCACAGUGCUUGAAGAACUAAACGAAGAUACAGAUGUUAUAUAUAAUAAAAACGAAAGUAGUAGUAACUGCAGUUUAUCUGAGCAUUUAAUAGAACUUGAUGCUCAGCGUAUAGAAGCAGAAAAAUCGUAUAUGCUACUUUCAGAUAUUCUGACACAAAAUGAAAAUGAAGCUAAAUUAUCUACGCCUAAACAAAAUCGGACAAAAAUAAUUCGUCAAACUGCCGGUGAAUCUAGUGAAAUUAAUGUAGAAAUGCAACAGUCGAACUCUUUAGAAAAUAAUCUAAUGCAGCGUAUGCAUAAGUUACAAAAAUCAGAAACUUUGAUUUACGACCAUCGUUCUAAUACAGUCAUCAGCCCUUUGACAGAGGAUGAAGUGCAAAUCUUCCAACAACAACAGCAACAAAUAAAUCUGGAUCAUCCAGAUGAAAAGCCAAUUGGACAAAAAGUUGAAUUAAUAGAAGAAGAUAAAAAUGCAAUUAUAAAUUGCGCUGCACGUCAGAAAUCAGAUAAGGUUUUAAAGAAAAUACCAUCAAUAUGUAUUGAUCCACCAACACCAAUAAUCAGUUCGCGUUCAUUUAUUGAUACUCUUAAAGAACAAAGUAGUAUUGACGCUAUAAAUGUGAAUAAACAAGAAACACCGAAAAAAAAUGUUAACAAGUCAUUGCAGGAAGAACUAACUUCAGACGAAACCUCCAACUAUAUGGAGUCCCCCACAAAUCUUGACCGAGAUUUGAAAACUCAUCACAAAGUAACGAACAUUACCAGCAAAAUCCUUAAAUUUGAAAAUUUUUCCGUAACAGAGACAAAAAGCGAAAAACCCAAGUGUUCUAACAUAAAGCCACCACAGAGAUCGGCAACAAGUCCAUCAUUGAAAUCAUUACUAUCCGAGAGAACACAGUCCAAAAUAAAAUCUCUCGAUGUUAACAGAACAACGCAAAAUGAAAACUGCUUAGUGCGCUCAAACUCCUUUACACUAGAUUAUCCUUCGAAAGCAUUAAUUGAACACAUUCGUCAACAACAAGUACCUAAUGACAUUUAUCCUACCAAACGUUCCAACUUAUUUUCGAUGAGCGCCACACGCGACACUGUCGAAUCAAAGGCGAAACGUGUGCAAAAAGUUGAUCUUAAGCCACGCACACAACCAAUGCGCAUACAACUAAAGCCUUCAAUCACAAAUAUUACAAGUCCAUCCUCAACACACCAUUCAGGCAUUAAAAGUAAACGUUCACCUUAUGAGCAAAGAUUAAUUAAACCGAAAAUUGGACGUCAGCUGAAAAAAUCUAUUUCCGGUACAACCGCUAUCAAACAAAUGAAACCCACACCUUCGAUGCCAAGCAUACAAACUGCUAAAGUAAACACGGAAAUUGCACGCGAACGUCCAGCAGGCAGUCAACAAUACAACGGUAUUGAAGAUGAACACCGUCAAAAAUUUCUCGAGCUAUUGGCGCAACAAAAACGUGAACAACAACGUAUGCAGCAGGUAUUCGAAGAGCAACAAAGGUAUUUGCUAGAGCAGUUGACAAAUAAAAUAGGCAACGUACAAAUACAACAUGCUGUAGAUCAUGUAAACAACAAAAGAGUUGACAUUAGUUAUCAUGGCUCGGUUGAAAAUUCACCCACAGCAAGGUCAGACUGUGCUGAGACCUUCACUUUACAGUCGCCAACAAUGAGUGCCAACAGUUCUGUUGCAACAAAUUCUUUGGACUUGAUGUCAGGUGCAAUCCAACUACCAUCGUUGGAGUUAUCUAUCGACUCAUCAACAUUACCGGCGACAUCGCAAAGCAGUAAUACCUGCACUCCUCGGCGGCGGCUCUUUUCACACGACCUUUCGCCAACAGCUUCAAACAGAAGUGUGUCGAUCAACAGCAACCACAGUGGAAUAACUAAUAGUGUUGGACGCUCGAAUGGCACUAGUAGUGGAGCGUCAAACAGUCGCCUUUACAAUAACAGUUGAUAACAUUUCAGUGAAAGGAGAAGCAUUUUCAAACGAUAUUCAAAUCUAACACAUAAAUUAAAAUAACUAAUCCCAUAACGAUGAUCUCUCACUGUGCCUUAUCUUGUAAACAAUCAACCAAUCAAUCAAAUCUAGCCGCAAACAGUCAGUACUGCAUUACAAGUAUGUGCUGGAGUGUGGGAAACAUGAAAGGUUUCGUUGGGAGACACACUUGUGCAUACAUUUAUGAUUUACCAUUAUAACAAAUUUGGGCACUUCGCAUUUGAUAUUAUUAUUUUCCAUUUAAUCGUUCACAUGUAUUUUACUACACACCUACAUAUACACAGAAGGAUUGUACAUAUGCAUUUGAAUAUACUUGUUUUUAAAACAACUUCAGUUUGAAUUUCUGCUAAAAUUUCUAAUUUACAAGAUAACACUUGUAAAAUUUCAACGAUAUUUUAGAAUAACACUUAUGUAUAUAUUAUACUUACACAAUGUCCUUGCGGCUAUUAUCAAGUGCCUAAAUUAUCUAGAAAAAUCUUAACAAAUGUCAUAUUAUGAAUAAUUUAGUUAAUAAAAAUUCUAACUCUCACACAUACAAUUUUUAAUUCAAAUUAUAAUAACAAUAACAUAUGUACAUUGGUUACCGAAAACUUUUUGUCCUAAAAAAACAGCGUCAGUCGAUGAUUACCAACACAUGCGUAGAAGCUGAGCGACGAGCGUCUGCAGCGACUAAGAUCAAUGCGUUCGUACGUGGUUAUUUGGUGCGUCGUCUAUUUCAAACGGAACAAGUUCAGCGUGUUGUACAGACAAUCAAAGACACGUUAAUAUUCGUUUUGAACUUACACAUGGAGACCUGCGAGGACCCUGUAGAAGCGAGUGCUCCUGUUAAUAUCAAACUUAAAGCACGACUUUUAAAGCAGUUAAUUUCUUCGACGCGCACCCUUCAUUUGAUUCUUUUCCAAACGACGCCUAAGGAACGCAUGGAAAUAAUUAGUCGUGAUCGCAAACGUAUCAAAACCAAAAUGCUGAAAAAUAAUCUGAAAUGGUCACCCCGCAUUCAAACCUGAUACAUAAGGGCUAUCCCAUCUUCCAGCACGUUCUAUUAUAUAUUAAUAAAAAUUAUUCAAUAACUGAACUGUGAAUUUCUUAUGCACUUAAGGGAGCCAAGCUCAUUUUCAAAUAAACCAAACUACAUUUUUA